CGAUCCCUUAAUUUACGUAGGCAUGAAUACGCAGUUCAGACAAUCAAUCAAGAGAAUAUUUGGAAUUCACACAAAAAGGAGCAAUUCACAAACCGAUAGAUGUUAUAACAACACUAUGUUGUCACCAACCAAGCAAUUAGCGUACAAUGAAAUCACAGUACGGUAUAAUUCAUCUGAAACUAUUAUUACUAACACACCGAG
rnacentral:misc_RNA from 1 species